ACUCAAAGGAAUUGACGGGGGCCCGCACAAGCGGUGGAGCAUGUGGUUUAAUUCGAAGCAACGCGAAGAACCUUACCAGGUCUUGACAUCCUUUGACCACUCUAGAGAUAGAGCUUCCCCUUCGGGGCAAAGUGACAGGUGGUGCAUGGUUGUCGUCAGCUCGUGUCGUGAGAUGUUGGGUUAAGUCCCGCAACGAGCGCAACCCUUAUUGUUAGUUGCCAUCAUUCAGUUGGGCACUC
rnacentral:rRNA from 1 species